GGUUCCUGCUUUGAGAUCCCGCCCUGAAUUCACUGCAUGAUGGACUAUAAGCUAUAAGGGAUGUGAGCCACCAUACCCAGUUUAUGGAGUGCUGGAGAUCAAACCCAGAGCUUUGUAUAUGCUGAGCAAGCGCACUACCAUCUGAGCUACCUUCCCAGCCCCAGGAAUCUGCUCUUCUCACAAGCUAUCAGUCUUACUUGCUUUCUGAUACUGUAAUAACUGAAAACCUCAGGAACUGGUGAUUUUCCCAGAAAUUCUCAGUUAUAUUGAUCAUCAUUUAGAAGAAUAUUUUGCAGCUGUCUGUAUCACCUGCACCAGCCACCAUCAGACCAUCCAUCCCCCUAUAAGGUAGGCUGCACAAUGACACCAGUUGACAGGGCAACAGGAUGGGGGAUUCUCACAAGGCUUCACCCCUCCAAGAAGAUCUGCAGACAAUUCAUGGUUGCUGAGAGGAGGGCAAUCAGUCUUCUCUACGGAUGAGCUCUUGGAAGGCCAGCUUAUUCCAAAAGGCUUGUUGAACCAGUGAGUUCCUUCCAGUCAUGGAGGACUUGAGUGUGAAUAUGAUCACUGAGAAGCUCCCUUGAAGAAGAUCACAGAAC